rnacentral:lncRNA from 1 species
CCCGCCAAGAUAAUAAAGGAAAUGUGGACGACAAUAGAGUUUCCGGUAUCCCUCGCGGCAUCUUGGGAUAAAUCCACGUGAGUUAUUGAUAUUAUGAUUAUGACAUCUCCCAGAACGUCAAGACUUAGCAGUGUCUUCUAUUUAGAAGAUAUAAUGUCAAUAUUAGUUCCGAUAUAAGAAAAUAUUAUUUCUAAGAAACGACAUGCGUGAUUCUGUUAUAGAUUUAGGAAUCGUUCAUUAAUUGAUAAGAAUGUCGGACUCUAUUCUUUAUAAACGGCCUUCGUUCAUUAAUUGAUAAAAAUGUCGGAGUCCAUUUAUGUAAACUGCCAUUGCUUUUUUGUUGAAUAUCUGUAGUAAUCAUUUUUUUAAUUAAGAUCUAGAUUGCAAUCAUCUAUUUUUUUUUUUCAUUUUUUCUGACCAAUUGUUCUGUUUAGAUUUUUUGACAAAUUAUUCUCAGUCUAUUCUUUAUAUUUCUCGGUUCAUCCGGAUAUUCUAUCGUCGAUUUUUCUAUAAUAUUCCAUAUUUUCUGAAUUGUCUUGUUAUGUUGUUGUUUCAAUGAAUUACAAAUUAUCCCACACGUCUUCUUUCUUUUAUCCUGUUUUCUAAAACUCAUAGUUUUAUAUAACUAUUGUUAAAUCUUUCAUGAAUGACUUUUAUGCAUAAUAAUAU